GGAUUUGAGGCUGAUCUGGCCAUUUGAUUACUAGGUUGCAACAUCUGUCACCCCAUUUGAUUACUAGGUUGAUUCAGUUAGGCGGGUGUCCCCUUCGUCCCUCACCACUCCAUGUGCAUUCCUCCUGAAGCUGUGCGCUAGGCUGAAGACGUGACCAGUCCCUGGUCAGGGUGUUUUUCAGUCAAGAUGUGGCAGUGGCUGCACUCCCCUGUUAGACCUGCCACACAAGCUCUCAAGGUCCAUUUGUAGGAGAACAUAGGGUGGUCAAACUUCCAAGACUCCAGACACAUCCAAAUGAGAUGGCAGUCUGCAUUUUUUUU
rfam:Myotis davidii contig30128, whole genome shotgun sequence.